UGGUAUAAGCUGGAUGAGCUGUUUGAGCAGGAGAGGAACGUUAGGAUGGCCAUGGCUAACCGUGCCGGACUGCUGGCUCUGAUGCUGCACCAGACCAUUCAGCACGACCCUCUCACCACCGACUUGCGGUCGAACAAGGAACGCUGACACCCCCCCCCCCCCCCUCUCCAUCGCCACCCACGAGAGAAAAGGGGUCGUUCUGAAGGUGGGUUUUGACAGAGCGGGUGCCCAGCAAAGGAGGCCACCCCCUUUUCUCACCCAGACACCGCAUGGGCCUCCUCCCUUGGUCCUGGCCUAUCCUCGGGGACCUGUCAGCCUUCCUGCAACAAAAGGAGGAGAGUAGCUCAAGCCGAACGAUCGGAGUCUCUCUGCUUUCCAGGUGCACAGACUGUGGUUGGACAUUGCCAUUUCUUUUUCACUGUAAUUACCUUCUCUCGUGUCCGAUUAAUAAAGGUAGCUUCCUGUUUUUCA